GACAGAGGUGCCAAGCGUUUAGGCGGAAUCACUGGGCUUAAAGCGUGUGUAGGUGGAUUUGUAAGUACCUUGUGAAAUCCCAUGGCUCAACCAUGGAACUGCUCGGUAUACUGCGAAUCUUGAGCCACUUAGGGGCUACCGGAACAAAUGGUGGAGCGGUGAAAUGCGUAGAUAUCAUUUGGAACGCCAAUGGUGAAAACAGGUAGCUGGGAGUGUGCUGACACUGAGACACGAAAGCCAGGGGAGCGAACGGG
rnacentral:rRNA from 1 species